rnacentral:ncRNA from 1 species
GGUGCCGGCCGAGGGGAUCAAAUGGGAAUCAGGUGCGAAUCCUGAACAGUUCCCGCUGCUGUAAGUUCCUGCUCCGCCGAGGCGGAGCGAACGUAUGCGACACUCUUUUGCCACUGACUUUUGGGUCGGGAAGGCGUCGCAGACGGAACGAGUCAGAAGACCUGCCGUUGCGGU